ACGGAGGGUGCGAGCGUUAAUCGGAAUUACUGGGCGUAAAGGGCGCGUAGGUGGUUCGAUAAGUCAGAUGUGAAAUCCCCGGGCUCAACCUGGGAAUUGCAUUUGAUACUGUCGAACUAGAGUGUGGUAGAGGUAAGCGGAAUUCCCGGUGUAGCGGUGAAAUGCGUAGAUAUCGGGAAGAACAUCAGUGGCGAAGGCGGCUUACUGGAUCAACACUGACACUGAGGCGCGAAAGCGUGGGUAGCAAACAGG
rnacentral:rRNA from 1 species